rnacentral:rRNA from 1 species
AGAGUUUGAUCAUGGCUCAGGAUGAACGCUAGCGGCAGGCUUAAUACAUGCAAGUCGAGGGGCAGCAGCUUUAUAGCAAUAUAGAGGCUGGCGACCGGCAAACGGGUGCGGAACACGUACACAACCUUCCUUGAAUAGGGGGGUAGCCCAUAGAAAUGUGGAUUAAUACCCCGUAAUAUAGCGGUGUGGCAUCACACUGUUAUUAUAGUUUCGACGAUUCGAGAUGGGUGUGCGGCUGAUUAGGUAGUUGGCGGGGUAAAGGCCCACCAAGCCUUCGAUCAGUAGCUGAUGUGAGAGCAUGAUCAGCCACACGGGCACUGAGACACGGGCCCGACUCCUACGGGAGGCAGCAGUAAGGAAUAUUGGUCAAUGGACGCAAGUCUGAACCAGCCAUACCGCGUGAAGGAUGAAGGUCCUCUGGAUUGUAAACUUCUUUUAUAGGGGGCGAAAAAAGGGUUUUCUAACUCACUUGACAGUACCCUAUGAAUAAGCACCGGCUAACUCCGUGCCAGCAGCCGCGGUAAUACGGAGGGUGCAAGCGUUAUCCGGAUUCACUGGGUUUAAAGGGUGCGUAGGCGG